rnacentral:rRNA from 1 species
GACAAACGCUGGCGGCAUGCCUAACACAUGCAAGUCGAACGGACAGAACAGGGAAGCUUUUCGGAGUGGAACUGGAAAGUUAGUGGCGGAUGGGUGAGUAACGCGUGGACAACCUACCUUGUAAAGGGGAAUAACCUCGAGAAAUCGAAGCUAAUACCCCAUAAUAACCUUGCUUCGCAUGAAGUAAGGAGGAAAGGCGGCCUUAGCGCUGUCGAUACAAGAUGGGUCCGCGUCUGAUUAGCUAGUUGGUGAGGUAAAGGCUCACCAAGGCGACGAUCAGUAGCCGGCCUGAGAGGGUGAACGGCCACAUUGGGACUGAGACACGGCGCAAACUCCUACGGGAGGCAGCAGUGGGGAAUCUUCCGCAAUGGGCGAAAGCCUGACGGAGCAAUGCCGCGUGAGUGAAGAAGGCCUUCGGGUUGUAAAACUCUGUCCUUAUCGAAGAGAGAGUGUUGUAGUAUUUGACAAUACUAGGACGGUAGAUGAGGAGGAAGCCCCGGCUAACUAUGUG